CUCCCCCACAACGUGCACCUACGGCCUUCCGGGGCGUCCCACGUGCAGGGGACCGAGGACAGGAAAUCCGUCCAGUGGGCGGAGCCCGGAGUGGAAGCGGCUGAGCCUUCGCCUGUUCGUGGGAAGGGGCCGGUGUCACCUCUGCCACCCAGACUGUUCCCUGAAGCCCAGGCCGUCCACCAGCUGGCACCUUGACGCGUCUCCUCUGCAUCCAGGGGCACCUUUGACGCGUCGCCUCUGCACCCAGGGGGCACAUCGAAGCUGCGGUGUCCAGACUGCACUCCUGAUGCCUCCCCCAGGCGGCUCCCUGCACGACCUCCCGCACUUAGCUCCACAAAUGGCAACCCCCCACUCCAGGGCUCAGACCCAAGUUGGGGGCACCCUCGACCCCACACCCAUGCCUGGUUCUGUAGCAAGUGGUGCUGCCAGCUCCGCCCCCAACGCACAUCCUGACACCACGCACUCCUCACCUGGCUGUCAGGAGCUUCCUCGCUCACUCACCGUCUCCUCCGCCUCUCCUUCGCCCCAGCCCUGGGGAGAUGUUCCAGCAGCCAGAGCGGUUGCACCCCAAUACCAUCAGCUUCUGUUCGGACCCUCCAUAGUUUUCUAUUGCUGCUAUACCAAAUUGUCACAAACUGAGUGGUGAACAACUUGAGAGACAUGGGGACCAAUGGAAAGUCCUAGAAGCAUCUCUGUGUGUCGGUUGGAGCAGAUCAUGGAAGCCCUCCCAUGAACACAGUGCCAGGCCAGGGACUGAGCAUAAGUGAGGAAGAGCGUUACAGGGUUUCCUCCCUAGAACUGGAAGAUGGUGCGCACCAGGGAGGAGGAAAGGGGCCAGGAGGCAGGGGCUUCCCUGGGACUGCCCUCCCUGCCUCCCCCGCUGACCACCCUGCAAGCCAAGAGCUGUCCACACCAGCAUCGCAAGGCCCCACAAAGCGGGGCACAUAGACAGCGUGGCUGGUGGAGCCGAGCCCACAGGGACACACGGGGAGCCGUCUUUCUCCAGUGGCAGGUGACACAGCUAGGACGCAGCUCACGAAGCCAUGCGUCCACCCCGCGGCACCCUGGGCGGAUCAGGGCCUCUCCUGAAAUCAGAAAGUGCGCUGCGGCCUGACCGACUUCAGUCCCCCCAGGUCAAAGCCUUUCCUCCCCGCCCGACAGAACCUGGGCUGGCGCCUCCAGUGGAGAAGGGGUGAAAAAUCAGCAAACAGACAUCAGUUGUUGACGCGCUGGCAGCAAACCAUGGGAAAUGGGGUUUGGAAACGAGAUUUACAAAAGCGUCAAAAAUACCCAAUACCUGGGAAGCUAACAGAAAACGUGUAAGAACAGCGUUACGGCACUUUCAGGGCGUUUGACGACCGUCACUGAGAAUGGGGAAACCCACCAUCUUCACGGACCGGAAGACUCAGUCUCGUUGGGGUGUCCGGCCCCCCAAGCGUUCCACCCACGUCUUACCGCAGAGUUUGGGGGGAUGCGUGUGAUGUCUACCGAGCGAGUAGGGCCGUGGCGGCGGGUCUCUGACGCCGUGAGACAGAGAAAGUGCCUCUGCGUUCCUGGUUCCCUGGGCUGUCACCAUGAAAGUCUUAGUGCACUGGCGUGUGUAACAGACCGCCCAGCGCAGGGCCCCUCUCCUGCACACACCAGCCUCCUCUCUGGCCAGGCUCACUCGCUGACUCCAGUGGCCUUGUUUCAUUUAGGCAGCACAGAAACGACCCUGCCCUCGCCACGCGUGCAAAGCCUCCAUCACUCUAGACGAGGAAACAGUGCUUCGCCCCGGGCGGGGGUGCAGGGGUGGGAGACAGCAGCGUGUGCGCGGCUCCUACGGGCUGUUUGUGUCUCCGCUCCCCCGUGACACACUCCCUGGCUUUGUCUUUCACAUCCUCAUUUCCCUGGUGUGUGGGUGUACGGCCGUGUGAUUGUGUGUGUGUACCUCUGUGGGUAUGAUGAUGCGUGUCUGUGCACAUGUGUCUGCGUGUAUCUCUGGUGGUGUGUCUGUGACUGCGUGUGUACCUCUGUGUAUGCCGUCAUACGGAUCUGGGUCUGCGUACAAAUUUCUGGGUGUGUAUCUGUCUGUGAUUGUGUGUGUGCUUGUGUGUACGGCUGUGUGUGUCUGUGUGUGUGUCUGUACAGAUUUCUGGGUGUGUGUCUGUCUGGUUGUGUGCGUGUGUGUGUGUACGAUUGUGCAUGUCUGUGUACUUGUGUGUGCUUAUGUGUCUGUAAGUCUUUCUGGGUGUGUGUCUGACUGUGUGUGUAUCUCUGUGUAUUAUCACGCACGUCUGGGUCUGUGUCUGUACAGAUUUCUGGGUGUGUGUCUGAUUGUGUGCGUGUGUGUGUGUGCAUGGCUGCGUGUGUCGGUGUACAUGUGUCUGUACAUAUUUCUCAGUGUGUGUCUGUCUGUGAUUCUGUGUGUAUGUAUGUGUGUAUGUGUACAGAUGUGUAUGUGUGUCUGUCUGUGAUUG